rnacentral:rRNA from 1 species
GACGAACCGUCCAAACGUUAUUCGGAAUUACUGGGCUUAAAGGGUGCGUAGGCGGCUCUGCAAGUUGGGUGUGAAAUCCCUCGGCUCAACCGAGGAAUGGCGCCCAAAACUGUGGAGCUCGAGGGAGACAGAGGUGAGUGGAACUUGUGGUGGAGCGGUGAAAUGCGUUGAUAUCACAAGGAACACCGGUGGCGAAAGCGGCUCACUGGGUCUCUUCUGACGCUGAGGCACGAAAGCGUGGGGAGCAAACAGGAUUAGAUACACGCGUAGU